rnacentral:rRNA from 1 species
AUUGAACGCUGGCGGCAGGCUUAACACAUGCAAGUCGAGCGGAGAUGAGGUGCUUGCACCUUAUCUUAGCGGCGGACGGGUGAGUAAUGCUUAGGACUCCGCCUAUUAGUGGGGGACGACAUUCCGAAAGGAAUGCUAAUACCGCAUACGUCCUACGGGAGAAAGCAGGGGAUCUUCGGACCUUGCGCGAAUAGAUGAGACUAAGUCGGAUUAGCUAGUUGGCGGGGUAAAGGCCUACCAAGGCGACGAUCUGUAGCGGGUCUGAGAGGAUGAUCCGCCACACGGGGACUGGGACACGGCCCAGACUCCUACGGGAGGCAGCAGUGGGGAAUAUUGGACAAUGGGGGGAACCCUGAUCCAGCCAUGCCGCGUGUGUGAAGAAGGCCUUAUGGUUGUAAAGCACUUUAAGCGAGGAGGAGGCUACUGAGACUAAUACUCUUGGAUAGUGGACGUUACUCGCAGAAUAAGCACCGGCUAACUCUGUGCCAGCAGCCGCCGUAAAAC